CUCACCAUUUCUCUUCUUUUUUUCUCCAAACUCAUCCUUCUCAAAUUCUUAAACUUUUCUCAUUUUCUCUUCACAGCAGUUAGUAUUACCUUGAGUUCUUUCUUGUCCAAGUUCAUUUCCACCAACAAUCAAGUAAAAAAGGUGGUACGAGAAACCCUAAACACGAAAGAAGAAAAAAAGAAAUUCAACAGAGGAAGGAGGAUAAAAGGCCUUAAAAAAGGAGGAAGCUAUGACCGAAAAUUACUGGUGUUACCAAUGCUCUCAAGUGGUGACUCCCAUCGUGGCAAUCGAGAUUAAAUGCCCAUUUUGUCAAGGUGGGUUUAUCGAACAAAUGAGCGGUUAUACAACAAGGGACGAUGAAGACAUGGAUUCAGAUAUGGGAUCCGAUCGAGCACGCUCCUUGUGGGCGCCUAUCUUGUUAGGUAUGAUUGGUAAUCCCUGACGUCGUAUAAGAUUCGACCAUAUCGACUUUGAAAAA